rnacentral:tRNA from 1 species
GGGUCCAUAGUCUAUCGGUUAGGACGCGGCCCUUACAAGGCCGAGAGACCAGUUCAAUUCUGGUUGGACCCA